rnacentral:misc_RNA from 1 species
CCGAGUUUACAACUCCCAAACCCCUGUGAACAUACCACUUGUUGCCUCGGCGGAUCAGCCCGCUCCCGGUAAAACGGGACGGCCCGCCAGAGGACCCCUAAACUCUGUUUCUACUAUGUAACUUCUGAGUAAAACCAUAAAUAAAUCA